CUUGGUUAUGACUAUUAUUUCAGGGCUUUACUAGGAGGUAAUGUUCCACAUGGCAGUGGAAGAAUAUGGUUAGACGACGUUCAUUGUGUAGGAAACGAAAAUAAUAUUUCGAGUUGUUCACAUAGAGGAUGGGGAUUGCAUUAUUGUAGACAUGAUGAAGAUGCUGGUGUACAAUGUUCAGAGAAAGAUUCGACAAUACCAGAGAAAAUGGGCAGUCCAUUGGCCAACUUUUCCUUGGAGGAAUAUGAUAAUCCUUAAAUUAUCAGUUUUGUUACGAUUGUUUACAUUCAUUAUAGCUAUUUAAAGCUG